GACGGAGGAUGCAAGCGUUAUCCGGAAUGAUUGGGCGUAAAGCGUCCGCAGGUGGCAGUUCAAGUCUGCUGUCAAAGACCGGGGCUUAACUUCGGAAAGGCAGUGGAAACUGAACAGCUAGAGUAUGGUAGGGGCAGAGGGAAUUCCUGGUGUAGCGGUGAAAUGCGUAGAGAUCAGGAAGAACACCAGUGGUGUAGACGGCGUUCUGGACGAGUACUGACGCUGAGAUACGAAAGCGUGGGGAGCAAACAGG
rnacentral:rRNA from 1 species